AUGGGGACCUGUGUGCGGAAGUCCCGUGACAAAGAAUGUAGAGAGGUAGGCGGCCCGAGGUGAUGCUUCACCCUUUUCUUUCUCCCCAGGAGGGCCCAUGUGUGUUAGCCAGCUCCCCAGGCUGGGAUGUCAGCUCUGACUCACUCUCCCCAGGGAGAAGCUUAAUUAGCCUCCCAGCAGCCAGAAGCACCCCAGAUGAAAGGUGCUGAAUGUGAGUAUAAGGUGUGACCCCAUAUUUAUAACCAAGGCUCCCUAAGGUGAGGAAGCCCGGGGGCGGAGAGGCAGACCAGAUCAGGGCCUUACCUUGUUUACGACAGAGGUUCUCAGGAAAGGGAGCUGGCUGGCUGCGGUGGCUGUGAGUCUGAGAAGUCUCCAGGGCUUGGGGGUGGGGCAGCAGAGGGCCUGAGGGUAGAAGGGGUUGGGGGGCUGAAAGGGAUCAGGAGGCUGAGCUAUGUUCCAGGUGUUGCCUCCUGUAUAGGAGCUCCAAGACCAGGAGGCAGACUUGGGUAGGGUGGGCCAGGGUGGGUAAGGGCUCUGAUUCGGGGCUGCCAGGUUUAAAUCCCAGCUCCACCAUGGCAUUCUGUGUCCUGGAACCUGGAUUCCCUCAUUGACUGACAGUGCUUUAUGGGGAGGCUCUGGUACCCACUAUGCCCAUAAGGAACAUGUGUGCCAUCCUAACCGAGUGCCUGUCCUAUGCCAUGCUGGGAAUCCAACUCAACAGACAGGAGGGUCUGCUUGGCUGCACGGCAGACUCCAGGCACAAGAACGAGAGAUAAAAAACCAAUUGCCUAGCCAUCUCUGCUCACCAUGCUAGGGACAACGGUCACGUGUCAUGUGUCAGAUGCAGAGGUCACAAGCACGUGGCUUCUCCACAUGAUGCCCUGGACAAAAAAAAAAGACCAGCUGCUGAGGCAGGUAGAGCUGAUGUGGGCAGAUUCAGAGCCAGGGUUGAGGGGCUGGGUCUGCAGCACAGGAAUCCUGAUCCACAUCUGGCAAAACAGAUGCCGCCGUCCCCCCUCUGCCUCUGCUAAGGGAUGCACCUAUAGUAAGAACCGUCCUUGUCACCUAGGUCCUGCUGGGACUCCUGCAGCCCGGCCCAGUGAGACCAAGAAUGACUUAACUACCAUGUCCCUGCCUAGGGUCUGGGAAUUCAUUCGUUCAUUCCUUGUCAGUCACUCUACUGGGCAACAAGGAUGUAAAGAUUGAACAUAACAACACGUUCGUGGUCCCUGUGCUCUGGAGGACCUAACAUAGAGCAAAGCUGAGGACAUGAUUCUGGGAGAGCAUUUGCACAGCGUGUAAGAAAGCUGGGUUUGACCCUCGGGACUAUAAAAAAGAAACAGCUAAGCAUUAAAGUGUCAGAAGGACCAGAGCGGCACUGGCCGAAAGUCAUCAGCAAGGCCAUGGGAAGUACCCAAGCUGUGGGCAGCGGUAGCUAGAGCGUAGGGACAGGAGACUCAGAUACAUCCCACAACCCCACCCCCACCCUCCAUUUAUCUCAGCCUACCAAAGCAGGCUUCCUGCUAAGGCAGGUCAGUAACAAGAGUCUGGUACCUAGUCCUGCACCUGAAUCUGGGAGGCGGGCAGCAUCGCACAACCAAGGAAUCAGAGAAGGGAAGAAGGUCCCCCCUUCUGCAUCACCAGAGCCCCCCAUGGCAUCAAUCCAGGAGACAGUAUGGGGUACUGGGCUGAGACUUUCAGGAGACGUUCCUCAGGACAAAACACCGCCACCACCAUUGUGCCAUCCCCUGUCACAGAGAGCGUCCUAGAUUCCAGGCAUGUAUUUCUUAAACCACUAAGAUUUUGCCAAAGAUGUUCCCAGGGCCACGGGGCUAGUGUGCAGAGGAUUUGCACUGCGGUCUGACUGCCCCAGAAUUUACCCACACUGUUCAGCACAUCCCCCAAUCAAGCCACCAUUUGUUCUCCUAGAGAAGCCCACAACGGUCCCCUGUGUGCUGUGCAGGCUCCUAGGCAGGCUGCCCGCCAAGGAGUGAGGGAUGGAGAGUCCCCACCCCAGUCGUGCUCCAGCCUCUUCCCCUCCCCUGCCUGGUCUCAGCCAGUACAUCCACAGGAAAUCCUCCCUGCCUCCAGGAAACUUAGGAGCUGAAGGGAGCUGUCUCCACCAGGUCCAAGUGGGUAGACGGGGCCUGGAGAAGGAAGGGAACUGGAUGACAGUCCUAGGUCCUGGUGGUCCCUGGGUCUCAACUGGGAGCGAAAUGAUCCCUUCAAGCCCCAUCACACCUCCGGCAGCUGUCCUGAGGAGCUGCCUUGGCAGAGAGCCAAGGGAGCAAGCUAGGUCUUGCUCCAGGUACCUUGACUGACCUGAGGAAGCCCCAGGUGCCCUUUAAGGAAUCAGGCAGAGGGAAGGGGGUGCGUGGGAAGGUGGAUGAUUACCAUCUUCCAUUUCAGGGGUGGGGCGCGGCCACCUACCUGGGGAAUAUAGCCUUGUUGUCUGUCAGUGAUGAGCCCCUGCCUGUCUCAGGCUCACCAAGGGUCAGACAGGGUAACAGCUAGGCCAAAUAAAGCCAGGACGUGGUCUCUGAGAGCCCACUGACCUGAGCUCCGGGUUUCAGCCGAAACACUUCGCAUGCAUCAGCUCUGAAGCCAGUCUUGAAAUUCACUCUGAGAUGGGGAAACUGAGGGCCAGAGAGAUUGGAGAAAUGUGCCCACGGCUGUGUGGUCAGUCAGAUGCCUUUGGUGCCUGAUGCCAAAAGUUUUGUCUUUGAUGCCCACUUAAAGCUUUUUCUGUUGAGCAUGCCCAGCGUCAGAAUCAGCAAGGGAGACACUGUGUGAAGGAGGGGGUGGAUGCAUGGACUUUUCCCCAGUACCCAGGCUGAGGAGUGUGAACGGCUGAGUGGACGGGCCAGUCACUGGAUCGGUGGGUCACUGAGUGGAUAAGCUGCUUCAGUGAGUGGGUGAGUGGACCAGUCCCUGGGUGAGGGAGUGCAUCAGCGAAUGCAUGGGUGCAUCCGGGAGAGGGCAAGUGAGUAAUGGGCAAAUGGACAGAGUAUGGACCAUGAUAGGGUAAGUGACAAGUUGGAGCCGGGGACAAGUGGCAGGUGGCUAAAUGGCCCAGCUGGAGACAGAAACAAUGGCUGCUGUGUCCAAGGGCCUUCUGGAGAGAUGCAGGAAGGAAUGUGGCUUCUGAGAAACAGGGUGGCUCUUGGGGAUGCUGGCUCAUCAGGAAGAGCACCCCGAGAUCUCCCUCCCUAGACAGAAGCCACCUUGAUCUCCCUCCCUAGAAAGAAGCCUAAGAAGCCUUUGGAAAACCAGACUGGGGAGGCCCCAGGACACUGGCCACUCAGUGACUGCCUGGGCCAAUCAUUAAUGGGUCUUUGAGAAAUACAUUGCUUAAGGGGGACCCUGAGAUUGACCUCCUGACCCCAGGCAGGGAGGAAAAGAGGAAAGAGAGAGCCACUGGCUCUGCUGGAGGCAGAGGUGGGAACAGGAUUGUCAAUAUGCUCUAAUUCUGACCUUGGAAGGCAGGUGGGUGGACAGUUACUGCCCCAGCCCUGUUUACCUAAGAGAGGACAUAGGUGGCAUGGAAGUAGCCCAAGACGGAGGGGUCAUUGUUACGAAUAAUCUUAACCUUCUGGGUUAAGAUCCCACCUGGGAUCUAGACCAGGGGGUGAGGUAGACUGGAGUGGCCCCAGGUGUGGUGCUAUCCUGGCAAAUAUGGGUAAGGUGGAGGCUCUUGGUUAAAUGUAGUUCUAUGUAUCAGAAACCUGGAGGGAAGAGAUGAUUAGGAGACUAUGGGUUAACCCCAACAACUGCAGCAACAACAAAGGGAAAGUCACCUGGCUAACUCAAGGUUGACUGUGGAGUUAAAGAGCACACAGAGAAACCCCUCCAUUCCCAGGUCUAGAUCCAGGCAGCUCUCUGGAGGAAACCUAGGCAAGCAAGGGGCAGGUACUAGCCGGUGGGUCUCUGAAGACCACGUUCCUAAUUCCUUUCCACCGUGAGACAAAGAACGGCAAGAGAAUCCUAGAGAGGAGUGAAAUUGCCUUCCGCCGACCCUUCUAGAUGACCAUCCUGCCCUGGGACAGAGGCUCAUUAGCUUCUGUUCUUGAACGAAGACUUUCUGGUGUCUCGCCUUCUUUCUGGAAAAAACGCCACAGAGGACGGUUUAGGCUUGAGGCAAGGCAAUCCUGCAGAGACUUCUGUAGGGCAGGAUGCCUUAGGGCGUAGCAGGGCCCCUGGGAGGUGGCGUGCACCCUCUAGUGGCCACUUUCCACACAGGCGGAAGAGAAUUCCUGUACCCACAUUCCAGGUAAGGUGGUGGAGUAGAGGAUCUGCCUCUGUGUGAGGAGGUGAGUCAGGCAAAGAAUAGACUCUAUUGAACAGUAUAAAGAGCAGGGCACCCGGCACUACGGGAGUGUUAGAAUAGCCAAGGCACAGGACCGCCGAAGGCAUCUCUAACCAUGCAGCUCGUCAGCAGGGAAAGAUGAAGAAGCCUCACCAACAAGAGCGCUCCGGUGACAGCCCUGAUGGGCACUGUCGCCAGUCCUGGAGGUGCAAACUAGUCAGUCCCGGGAGAGUGGGAGAGCCCGCCCAACUCACAGUCUGCGAAGCUACGUGUGGCCUGCAAAGACUCCUGGUUCACAACCAAGGCAAAGUACUGAAGUGACUACGACUCUAGAGGACACCCAGCGUUUGUCAGACGCCUGCACAUGGGCAUAAAUCACAGGAAGACAGGAGUCUUCAAGUACAGCUGGACCCGGGCACUGGCAGUCUCCAGUUAUAGAGACUCCAGAACAAAGCUGCUCAACUACUUCCUUUGAAUUGCUUCCAUUCUCCAUGGUUUAUCUUUCUUCUUUUUACUAUACUUCCAGCAGUAUUUUGACUUUUAUUCUUUUUCAAUUUUUUUCUUUUAUGUUUAGUAUGUGUGUGUAUGCACACAUGUCAUGGCAGAGGUCACAGGGCAACUCAUGGUUUUUUUAAACCAUGUGUGUUCUAGGGAUCAGAUUCAGGCUGUGAAGUUUAAUGAGCACCUUUGCCUACUGAGCCAUCUCAACAGCUGAUUUUAUCUUAUUUUUUAAGCUUUUAUUUUUUUUAUUGUCCUUCUUAUAUUUAUCUAGUUUUGUUUACAUACUUUAUCAAUGAGUAGUUCUUAUUUUAUUGUUAAAUUAUAUGUAUUUAUUUAGUGA